rnacentral:lncRNA from 9 species
CACGUCUCCUGAAGGAAAAGGUCAGGAAGAAAGAAUGUGUUCCCAGAACUCAAGCGAGCCCCAGGGAGGGCAGGGUCACCAAACUAGAAAAACAAAUCAGCCUGAAAUGCCAGGGACACCUGUGAGGGUCAGCGGGACCUUCAGAACUCGAACAAGUGGCUCCAGGCACACCUGCUCCCGGGCAUGACAAGUGUCCUGUGUGGGGGCAGGCCGUCCCCCAUGGUCAGCAGGCAGAAGGCAGCUCGUGUAGCCCUCUGAUGGAACUUGGCUUCUCCUGCAGAAAAGAAGAUUCUCGAUAUACUCAUGGCAAAUUAGCACGAGAGUGACUGGUCAGUAAUACCAACAUAGCAUUCAUGGCAAAUUAGCACGAGAGUGACUGGUCAGUAAUACCAACAUAGCAUACAUUUUUUAGGAAAGACUCAACUGUGUAUGAGAUUAUGUAUGUUCAUAAAAUGAUGCGUGCGUGUGUGUAGAGACCAGACAGAAAGUCGUAGCUAAAAUAAAGACGUGAGCAAACAGGAGCAGGGUCGCUCUUCCCGCAACCACCUCGCCCGAUCCCCUCCUCCCUGCCUCCCUGAAGCCCCGCGUCAUUGGCUUCCUAUCACUGACUUUCCAGCUCGUCAGCGUCCUGGUAAACGUACAAGAACUGAUCCUCUAAGCCCAGGUCUGGCGAGACUUUUGGUUGAUAUUUUCAUGUUAUAACAGCGGGUGGCAAGCUUCUUCUGUAAAGGGCCAGACCGUAAAUAUUCUAGGUUUUGCAGGGCACACGGUCCCAGUCACCCGCCAACAGCCACUGACACCAUGCAGGUGUUCCAGUAAAACCUCAGAAACAAUUCCGGGAAGACAAUGGAGAAACAAUGAAGACGUGGGCAGGGCCUUCACGCGUUUGUGCUGAGUUGCACCUGACCUCUCUGCUCAGGCAGACACUUGUUUUCAAAUACAAAAUAAGUGAAUAAAUAAAA